rnacentral:rRNA from 1 species
UACAGAGGGUGCAAGCGUUAAUCGGAAUUACUGGGCGUAAAGCGUGCGUAGACGGUUAUGUAAGUCGGGUGUGAAAGCCCCGGGCUCAACCUGGGAAUUGCAUUCGAGACUGCAUAGCUAGGGUGCGGAAGAGGGAAGCGGAAUUUCCGGUGUAGCGGUGAAAUGCGUAGAUAUCGGAAGGAACACCAGUGGCGAAAGCGGCUUCCUGGUCCAGCACCGACGUUCAGGCACGAAAGCGUGGGGAGCAAACAGGG